rnacentral:rRNA from 1 species
UAAGGAAUAUUGGUCAAUGGAGGCAACUCUGAACCAGCCAUGCCGCGUGCAGGAAGACAGCCCUCUGGGUCGUAAACUGCUUUUAUUCGGGAAUAAACCUUUCUACGUGUAGAGAGCUGAAUGUACCGAAGGAAUAAGGAUCGGCUAACUCCGUGCCAGCAGCCGCGGUAAUACGGAGGAUCCAAGCGUUAUCCGGAUUUAUUGGGUUUAAAGGGUGCGUAGGCGGCUUAUUAAGUCAGGGGUGAAAGACGGUGGCUCAACCAUCGCAGUGCCUUUGAUACUGAUGAGCUUGAAUGAACUAGAGGUAGGCGGAAUGUGACAAGUAGCGGUGAAAUGCAUAGAUAUGUCACAGAACACCGAUUGCGAAGGCAGCUUACUAUGGUUUUAUUGACGCUGAGGCACGAAAGCGUGGGGAUCAAACAGG